AAGUGGUAGGGUGUGGGCUGGCUGCACUGAUGAUGUCACAGUGUUGCAUUGUUUCUUCCUUUUUAGUUCACUGGACUGCACACUCCUCCUGGAGCCCUUGGUAGUUCAGUUGCUUAUCCUUCCAUGGUAGCACAAUUCUGUCUGCCCCACACAACUCUUUGUCUACCCUCUGGGCUCAGCAGCACCACAGAAGACAGGGUUCAUGUGAAGAAGGCUUAUUGCUGUGUGAAAUGACAGCAGAGAAAUAGACACAAAGGAAAAUCUUCAACAAAAUGUUCUUUCCAGCAAAAGAUCAAGAGAAGAGAAUCUAGAAAGAAGGGAAAAUUUUAGAUAGCAACUGCUCAAUUCCAGCCAAAUAGAAAGGAAACGUUGUGGUAAGGUUGUCACAUGACACUAAAGAGAGACAUUCUAUGGCGUGAGUUGGGGAAGCCAGGAUGGGUGCCCAGAAGGCGACACAGAGUUUUUCAAGUGACGAAGUUGAAGGCCCCCAGCAGCAUACCAUUCUGAGUGCAAACAUAUUUCAGAUGAAGGAACCUGAACUCAUUCUUAGAUGAAGGGAAAACCAGGACAAUUUGGUCUAAGAAGAUGUGCUUUCCUGAUUGUUUUUUAACAAUAUAAUUUCUAUGAGGAAAAACUUUGGGAAUCAAAGAGAAACAAGCAACUACAUUGAAUUUCCUUUAGAACUUUCAAAAUUGUAUUUCAUAACUUAGAAAUUAUAACAGUACUAAUGUUAUUCAAACAUCCAGAGGAGAAACACUUAAGAUAUUUUCGAUAAGAGAGGGUCUAGGAACUUAAAAAUUGAACUUUUUUUUUUAUUUACUGAAACUGGAAAAUGGUGAGUGUAAUUAGAACACUUACAGUAAAACAUUAAACAACAAAAACAAAACCCCUAGGAAAUCUGCACAAAGAGAUCCAUUUAAAUAAAAAGGAGAUUCUAAGCAGUGUUUAAGAAACAAACAAACAAAAAAGAACAAAAACUGGAAAAACAAAAUUAGAGAACCAACAGGAAACAAAAAAGGGAGACUUAUCCUUAACACA